AUUUUAAUAUUGUGUUGGAAGCCGCCCAGAGUGGCUGGGGAAGCCCAGCCAGAUGGGCAGGGUAUAAAUAAAUUAUUAUUAUUAUUAUUAUUAUUAUUAUUAUUAUUAUUAUUCUAUACCAUACCUAUUAUUAUUAUUAUUAUUAUUAUUAUUAUUAUUAUUAUUAUUAAUUUAUACCAUACCCAUCUGGCUGGGUUUCCCCUGCCACUCUGGGUGAAUCCCAACAGAAUAUUAAAA